UACGGAGGAUGCAAGCGUUAUCCGGAAUUAUUGGGCGUAAAGCGUCCGCAGGUGGUUGAACAAGUCUGCUGUCAAAGCGCGGAGCUUAACUCCGUACAGGCGGUGGAAACUGUUGAACUGGAGUACGGUAGGGGUAGCGGGAAUUCCCAGUGUAGCGGUGAAAUGCGUAGAUAUUGGGAAGAACACCAGUGGCGAAAGCGCUCUACUGGGCCAUAACUGACACUGAGGGACGAAAGCUAGGGGAGCGAAAGGG
rnacentral:rRNA from 1 species